rnacentral:rRNA from 1 species
UACGUAGGCAGCGAGCGUUGUUCGGAGUUACUGGGCGUAAAGGGUGCGUAGGCGGUUGUUUUAAGUUUGGUGUGAAAUCUCCCGGCUCAACUGGGAGGGUGCGCCGAAUACUGAAUGACUAGAGUGCGGGAGAGGAUAGUGGAAUUCCUGGUGUAGCGGUGAAAUGCGUAGAUAUCAGGAGGAACACCGGUGGUGUAGACGGCUAUCUGGACCGUAACUGACGCUGAGGCACGGAAAGCGUGGGCAGCAAACAGG